rnacentral:lncRNA from 10 species
CUCACUGAAAUUUUAUGUACAUGAACAACCUGCUGAUAAACUUCUGAGCAUAAAAGCUAAUUCAGUUUGGUAUGUAAACAAAAUAUUCAGUUUAAUUCACACUGAAUUUUUCAGCAAUGCAAGUACUAUGCAAACUGGGGAAAAGACUAGGCUUAGUUUUAUUCAGAGCUUUGUUGGGAGUUGUUCACUAUGUCAGAGAAACUUGAGGUUAACAUGUGCAGCAGCUCCAUUUGUGGGGUUCCAUGUAGGAGGCCAAGUGUUUGCCUACUUCCUGUUGGCUUCUAGCAAAAUCGGGCCUCCACCUCUGUCUACUGAAAUACGUAUUAUUUUACGGUGGUUCUGAACCCAGUGACAAGCACCUGCUUUCAGGAGCCAAGAAGUCCCUGGCAGAGUGCAGAGGCUCUCAGGAUGCUUCAGAGUCCCCACCAGUAAGAAGGCCAUCACCAGAUGCAGGCCCUCGACCUUGGACUUCUCAGCCUCUACGGAAGUUUCACUCUUUUUGCUCAAGGUGGAGUGCAAUGGCGCGAUCUCGGCUCACUGCAACCUCCGCCUCCCGGAUUCAAGCGAUUCUCCUGCUUCAGCCUCCUGAGUAGCUGAGAUUACAGACAUGAGACACCGCGCCCGGCCUAAAAUGUCAUUUUCUUCGGUGCCACGGGGAAGUGAAAUAGUCCUGAACAAAAUUAUAUAUCCUAUCUGAGGUUGGGAUGAGGCACAGAGGUGGGAAGAAAAAGUCCACAGUCAAGUACAUGGGCUGGACAUAAAUGAGAGCAAGACUGAAAUGCUGAGGGGGCUGCAGGGAGAGGCACAAGUUACUUGCAUAUAGCGGUGAUAAGCCUAAGUGAGGCAAACUGAAGUCCUCAGGGUUUUCUAUGUUUUUGUUUUCCAUGUGGCUAAAAAUUCUGUGAUUUUUGUAUACUACUGCAGAAAUACAGAAUCAGGUCUUUUAUUUCAUAACUUACUGACACUGGCUUAAUUUCUUUGCACAGUUCUACCCUAUUUCCAAAAAGCUAAAGAGAGGAAUGUGCUAGACCACCCUCCCUGCCUCACUAUGCCAUAGUCUCUUUUGGGCACACAUUAUAUUCCUAUCCAUGACAAGCAGCCAGGGCAGAAGAGCUCUCUACAUAUGUGCCACCUUGUCUCCAAAACCUGCUGUCCCCUUUGGACAGACUGGCCCAUCCCUGACCACUGUUCUCCCCUGUCUUCAAUUCCUGAUGGCAACAAGAGAGAUUCUCUGACUGUUUCCAAGGAUGUCAUUCUCAGCCUCACCUCCAAGUUUGAUUUUAUAGAACAACCAAUAAAUGUGGUUUCACCUUCCUUGAGUUCACAACCAUUCUCCAAAGUGUAUUCAGAAGAACACGAGUCCUGGGAGAUGUUUCUCACAAACAGAGCUUGAAGGCCAGUUUGGAAAAUAUUGCAUGCCGUAACUCCCUUUAGAGAUUCACAGUGCACGCUUUCAUUUCCAAGGCUUGGAGAGCCUUUUCUCACAUUUUAUGGGCAAGAAAUGAUUUUUAACGUUGUGUUAACAUUCUUCAGAGCAGGUAUUCCAUGGAGUAUGCUUUGAGAGAUACCAAUUUAAGAGCAUAGUUUAUGAUCAGUAAAUUAUAAGCAAAUAUUUUAUUAAUUCUACUAUUACAAGAACGUCACUUUAAAUAAUUUGAAACAGACUAGGAAUGUUCUUUUACCUUCUGCUUUGAUGAAAGUAGAUGCCUGUUAUGUCCAAGUGAAUGUGAAUCCAUCAUUUUCCCUCCGUUUCUUAAAUCCUGCAGCUCUAGUGCUCAUGCCAUCACCAUGCAGGAGUCCAAGUGAGAUGAGG